rnacentral:rRNA from 1 species
AGCACAGAGAGCUUGCUCUCGGGUGACGAGCGGCGGACGGGUGAGUAAUGUCUGGGAAACUGCCUGAUGGAGGGGGAUAACUACUGGAAACGGUAGCUAAUACCGCAUAAUGUCGCAAGACCAAAGUGGGGGACCUUCGGGCCUCAUGCCAUCAGAUGUGCCCAGAUGGGAUUAGCUAGUAGGUGGGGUAACGGCUCACCUAGGCGACGAUCCCUAGCUGGUCUGAGAGGAUGACCAGCCACACUGGAACUGAGACACGGUCCAGACUCCUACGGGAGGCAGCAGUGGGGAAUAUUGCACAAUGGGCGCAAGCCUGAUGCAGCCAUGCCGCGUGUGUGAAGAAGGCCUUCGGGUUGUAAAGCACUUUCAGCGGGGAGGAAGGCGGUGAGGUUAAUAACCUUGUCGAUUGACGUUACCCGCAGAAGAAGCACCGGCUAACUCCGUGCCAGCAGCCGCGGUAAUACGGAGGGUGCAAGCGUUAAUCGGAAUUACUGGGCGUAAAGCGCACGCAGGCGGUCUGU